AUGGAAAGGAUCCUCAAGAAAGCAUCCAGGCCAGGCUUGGUGACUCACGCCUGUAAUCCCAGCACUUCAGGAGGCUGAGGCGGGUGGAUCACCUGAAGUCAGGAGUUCAAGACCAGUCUGGCCAACACGGUGAAACCCCGUCUCUAUUAAAAAUACAAAAAAUUAGCUGGGCGUGGUGGUGUGUGCCUGUAAUUCCAGCUACUCAGGAGGCUGAGGCAGGAGAAUCGCUUGAACCCGGUAGGGAGAGGUUGCAGUGAGCCAAGAUUGUUCCAUUGCACUCCAGCCUGAGCAACAAGAGCGAAACUCUGUCUCAAAAAAAAAAAAAAAAAAAAAUAGCAUCCAAAACCCACAAGCAGAGAGUGGAGGACUUCAACAGACACCUGGACACACUCACGGAGCAUUACAUUCCCAGAGUCAGCUGGACGAAA
rnacentral:lncRNA from 10 species